rnacentral:rRNA from 1 species
AUGAGAGACGCGGGUCGUGCGUGCGCGUCCUGCUCCACCCUGCUGCGCGUUUGGAGGAUGCAUGCCCAUCUGGUGUUUGACGAGGACACGCUUGGGCUCCGACUGCUCCCAGAAGAAGAAGAAGAGCUCUUAGAUGAUGAUGAUCUUGACCCGCACCGGAAAGCCGUCCUUGAAAAGAAAAAGGACGAGCUCGUCCGGGACUUCGUCCGCUUUGUGGACACCACGAUGCUGCGGCACCGCAGCGACACAGCAUUGGAGACGCUCAGCGUCAAGUUCGCCUAUCUGCAGCAGCGACGCGAUGCCGCCUUGGUGGACCGCUGGGUACACUUUGCCAUCGAAUCGACCAGCACCAGGCGCCUAGAGCUCGACUUCCUAGCUCACCUCAUGGAGCCAUGCGGCCCAGACAGUCUGUGCUAUGAUUUUCCCUCCUCGCUCCUCCUCCUUACCCCAGCCGCCAUGGCCCUGGAGCAGCUGCACCUGAGAUCCGGAUGCUUGCGGUGGCCGUGGCAAGACAAUAAGUACUACUACGUGGAGCUGACCAGCCUGGUUCUUGACACCGUGCGCAUCACCAGCCAAGACUUGGAGCGCUUCCUCUACUCGUGCCACAAGCUGCAGCGCCUGGAGCUCAACUACUGCGACGAUCUGGUGUACGUCAAGAUGCCACCUCGUCCGAGGCAGCGAGGCUUCAAAUUUCUUGCCUUGCGGCACUGCCGCUCCGUGAAGACGGUGGACGUAUCUGAUUCUGGUGUCGCAUCGCUGACUUUUGACACGAUAAACCGUGGGCCCAGCAUUCUUGGAUCCACGGUGGCGCCGGCUCCGAAUGUGACAAGGGCGAGCUUUCAUAUCUUGGCUAAUCCCGUUGCACCUGCAGCUGCUGGCGUCUUUGAAACCACAAGCUUGGCGCGCCUCAUGCCAGGCCUAGAGAGUUUAUCCUUGAGAGUCACGAUGCUAGUCAAGGUAGUUACUUCACCAGCAAGCACCUGGAAAUACCGUCAUUUGAAGCGCCUGGACCUUUGGAUGAUCUUGGAUGGCAAGAGCCGCCAAAGGAACGACUUCAUUUUCCUUCACCGGUUUCUCGACGCAGCGCCUGCAUUGGAAUCGCUCUCGUUGCAUCUCAUGAGCUCAGCCCCAGCUUUCGAUGCAUCCCGGAUGCCCCCAGGCGACGUUGAGAAGCGCCUACACCUGAGCCUCAAGACCGUCACCAUCACUGGGUUCGAUGCUCACCUCGCUUCCCUAGAGCUCCUGCUCUACAUCCUGGAAAACGCGCGCCCUCUUGAGCGCCUGUCACUUGAUCCCGCAUGGUACGACGUUGACAGCCAGAUGCCUCAAAUGAUGCCCCCGGACGUUACAAGGCAGCGUGCCCGGAAGGCCAUUACAAGGCAUAUUGCCCCCCGGAUAUCCCAACAUGUA